rnacentral:lncRNA from 1 species
AGUAAAUAAAUCUGGUGGCAAGGCCAAAAAGAAGAAGUGGUCCAAAGGCAAAGUUCGGGACAAGCUGAACAAUUUCGUCCUGUUUGACAAAGCUACUUACGACAAACUUUGAAGGAAGUUCCCAACUAUAAGCUUAUUACUCCAACUGUGGUCUCCGAGAGACUGAAGAUUCAAGGUUCCUUGGCCAGGGCAGCCCUUCAGGAGCUACUUAGUAAAGGACUUAUCAAGCUGGUUUCAAAGCACAGAGCCCAAGUAAUUUACACCAGAAACACAAAGGGUGGAGAUGCCCCAGCUGCUGAUGAAGAUGCAUAAACAGAUUCAAUCAGCUGUACAUUUGGGAAAAUAAAACUUUAUUGAAUCAAAAAAAAAAAAAAAAA